rnacentral:tRNA from 1 species
GGUCCCAUCGUCUAGCGGGUAGGACGCCGGCCUCUCACGCCGGGAACCGGGGGUCGAUUCCCCGUGGGAUCACCA